GAUGCUUCUUGGCACAAGCAAGAGCAACUCUAAAGCACAUACUAGGAAUUACUGGGACUCCCAAUUGUUCCUGAAUAUCUGUACAUUUUACAUUCCAUCAGCAAAUAGUAUAUAAGAGAAUUGAGGGAGAAUGGGAUACCAUUGAGGUAUUAAUUUACAUUAUUUGCUUCCUAAUGAGAUUACAUGUAUAUUAUAUGUUGGCUUUUCUGAAACACUUUUUGAUUCACUGUUAACUUUAUUAGCCAUUUACUUCUCCUCUGAAAUAUAUCUAUCCACAACUGUUGCCCAUUUUAUCAUUGGGUGGUAUGAAUUUCUCUUAUUGAUUUUUAGUAGUUCUUUAAAAUUAAUCCUUUAUUUGUUACACAUAUUACAAGAAUCAACUCCCAAACUGCUAAUAAACUUUUUAUUUGGGAGUAAUGUUAAAUUUAGGGAAGAAUUUCAAAGACAGUACAAAAAAUUAUCAUGUACUAUUUACCUAGUUUCCAUGAAUGUUAAUAUUUUAAAUUAUCAUGGGACAUUUUUCAAAGCUAAGAAACCAACAUUGACAUACAUUACUAUCAACUAAACUCUAGACUUCAGAUUUCACCAGUUUCUUUGGUCAUGUCCUUUUUCUGUUUCAGGACCUGAUUCAGGAAACCACUGUGGAUUUAGUGUGAAUUGUCUUAAUUCCCUUUAUGUUGUUAUCUUUAGAUGAAUGGAGUUUUUCAUUUUAAUGUAGCUGCAUUUACCAAACUUCUCAUUGUGAAUCAGUGCUCUGGGAAAUUUAUUUAAGAAUUUCUUCCUGGGUGGACAGUGUAGCUCAAUGCCAGAGCCAUUACAUCAGGGGCCCUGGGGCCAAUCCUCAGCACUGAAAAAAAAAUCUUCCUUAUACCUAUGCUGUUAUGGCCCUUUUAUAUUUAAGUUUUGCAUGGCACAUUUAAGUCUUUCCUUUUUCAGGAUCAAUUAUUGUGCAUAGUAUCAGGAAAAGAUCCAGUUUCACUUUUUCCCUGUAUUAAUAAAUGUGCAUGUCUUAGUUUGACUUGAAAGUCUCC
rnacentral:lncRNA from 1 species